GUGUCAGCCGCCGCGGUAAUACAGAGGGGGCAAGCGUUGUUCGGAAUUACUGGGCGUAAAGGGCGCGUAGGUGGCCUUCUAAGUUGAACGUGAAAUCCCUGGGCUCAACCCAGGAACUGCGUCCAAGACUGGGAGGCUUGAAUCCGGGAGAGGGAUGCGGAAUUCCAGGUGUAGCGGUGAAAUGCGUAGAUAUCUGGAGGAACACCGGUGGCGAAGGCGGCAUCCUGGACCGGUAUUGACACUGAGGCGCGAAAGCCAGGGGAGCAAACGGGAUUAGAUACCCCCGUAGUCC
rnacentral:rRNA from 1 species